UGGGGAAUAUUGGACAAUGGAGGGAACUCUGAUCCAGCAAUUCUGUGUGCAUGAAGAAGGUUUUCGGAUUGUAAAGUGCUUUCAGCACNGGAAGAAGAAAGUGACGGUACCUGCAGAAGAAGCGACGGCUAAAUACGUGCCAGCAGCCGCGGUAAUACGUAUGUCGCGAGCGUUAUCCGGAAUUAUUGGGCAUAAAGGGCAUCUAGGCGGCACGACAAGUCAGGGGUGAAAACUUGCGGCUCANNNNAAGCUUGCCUUUGAAACUGUAGUGCUAGAGUAUUGGAAAGGUGGGCGGAACUACACGAGUAGAGGUGAAAUUCGUAGAUAUGUGUAGGAAUGCCGAUGAUGAAGAUAGCUCCCUGGACGAUAACUGACGCUGAAGUGCGAAAGCUAGGGGAGCGAACAGGAUUAGAUACCCUGGUAGUCCUAGCUGUAAACGAUGAUUACUGGGUGUGGGCAGGAAGACUGUCUGUGCCGAAGCAAAUGCGAUAAGUAAUCCGCCUGGGGAGUACGGCCGCAAGGCUGAA
rnacentral:rRNA from 1 species